rnacentral:rRNA from 1 species
UAUCGGAUUGAUGCUAAGCCAUGCGAGUCAUUGCAGUAAUGCAAGGCAGACGGCUCAGUAACGCGUAGUCAACCUACCCUAUGGACGGGAAUAACCUCGGGAAACUGAGUAUAAUGCCCGAUAGAACACUAUUCCUGGAAUGGUUUGUGUUCCAAAUGAUUUAUCGCCGUAGGAUGGGACUGCGGCCUAUCAGUUUGUUGGUGAGGUAAUGGCCCACCAAGACUAUUACAGGUACGGGCUCUGAGAGGAGUAGCCCGGAGAUGGGUACUGAGACACGGACCCAGGCCCUAUGGGGCGCAGCAGGCGAGAAAACUUUGCAAUGUGCGAAAGCACGACAAGGUUAAUCCGAGUGGUUUGUGCUAAACGAACCUUUUGACAGUCCUAGAAACACUGUUGAAUAAGGGGUGGGCAAGUUCUGGUGUCAGCCGCCGCGGUAAAACCAGCACCUCAAGUGGUCAGGAUGAUUAUUGGGCCUAAAGCAUCCGUAGCCGGCUCUGUAAGUUUUCGGUUAAAUCUGUACGCUCAACGUACAGGCUGCCGGGAAUACUGCAGAGCUAGGGAGUGGGAGAGGUAGACGGUACUCGGUAGGAAGGGGUAAAAUCCUUUGAUCUAUUGAUGACCACCUGUGGCGAAGGCGGUCUACCAGAACACGUCCGACGGUGAGGGAUGAAAGCUGGGGGAGCAAACCGGAUUAGAUACCCGGGUAGUCCCAGCUGUAAACUAUGCAAACUCAGUGAUGCAUUGGCUUGUGGCCAAUGCAGUGCUGCAGGGAAGCCGUUAAGUUUGCCGCCUGGGAAGUACGUACGCAAGUAUGAAGCUUAAAGGAAUUGGCGGGGGAGCACCACAAGGGGUGAAGCCUGCGGUUCAAUUGGAUUC